GGUCGAAUGGUGCAGUUGGUAGCACACGCAGAUUCGUUGAACCGUUUCAUCGACUACUCACUGUGUGACCCUUGUUCAAAUCAAGGUUCGGCCC